GCCAACGUUAAUCUCAUACUUGGGGCGCACAAACUGAGUGCUCGUCACUCUCCUCGCCCCGGGAAGGUCUGAGUAAAGGUCUUUGUGUUUUUUUUUUUAUUUUUUUUAUACUGCAAAUAUGCCAGCUAUAUAGCAUAGCCCGAAGUGCUACUUGCACUAAGGCAUUAUGGCCAUACUCAUAUGGUUUGUGGUUAUAAACAUUCAUAUACACUCUAAACCUGGC
rnacentral:RNase_P_RNA from 1 species